AUGGGCGACAUCCUCUCACAUUUAAAUGUCGAAGAAGCGGUUAGGACUAGUACCUUGUCAAGUACUUGGAGGGAUGCAUGGACUGAUAUGCCAGUAAUAUGUCUGCGCGAUGGAAAUUUUACAAGAACCAAGUUCAUUACGUUGGUCGAUAUGGUGUUAUCACUCCACAAGGGAACCAUAGAGGAGUUCUAUAUAUCAGUUAAAAGAAGUUACCAUGAUGAAUUGGCUAGGUGGAUGCUCAUGCUGUCAAGGAGAUCACCACGAUCAGGUAUAAUCAAGUUGAACUCAGGGCUAGAGUAUAGGAUUCCCUCAUGCCUAUUUUCUAUGGGCAAUUUGAUGUUUCUGCUCAUGGAAAACUGCACCAUCAGGUUACCCCUGGUAUUCCAAGGUUUCAAGAGACUAACUCACCUCAGCCUGAAACUUUUUUCCUCCACAGACAUGGACAUCAAAAAUCUGAUCUCAUUCUGCCCUGUACUGACUGAUUUGAGAUUAGUUCGUUUUGAGGGCAUCAGGUGUCUAAACAUUCAAGCUCCUAAACUGGAAUAUCUUAAAGUUGUUGGGGGCUUUGAAGACAUUAAUUUGGAUGCCCCUAAUCUAGAAUGGGCCUUUCUAUCUCUUAAUCCCAAAGCUAAAGCGUAUCAAUCUGUUCCUAUUGCUCAUGACAUGGAAAGCUAUGUCAGGAAGUCAUUGGGAAGCCUAACUGACAUCAAAACACUUGCAAUUAGUGGCAUUUUCAUGAAGUAUCUAUCAAAAGGGUGCAUACUUACGAAGUUCCCUGCCGUGUUUCAUCGCCUGGAGCAUAUUUAUCUUGUGAUAAGCUUUUCGGACCAGAGGCAAGUCUUAACUACUUGUUCAUUGCUUCAGAAUGCCCCUAACUUAAAGAAGCUUGAUAUGUGGAGUCAUCCUUCGAGCACAAGGGAUCAGGAUCAGGCAAGCAUUCAAGAGCUUACCGAGCAAAUGCAAAUGGUCCAUCUCGUAACGGCCAGUGUGAAAUGUUCCCAGGGUUUGGACUACGAAAUCGAUUUUGUGGCAAAGCUAUUGAGCUGGUCACCUGCUUUGGAAGAAGUGAAAAUAGAGUGGAAAGGUGAAAUGGACCGCAGCAUGGUUCUUACCAAGCUAUUAGCUCUGCCCAGGGUGUCUCCCAGGGCCAAGAUCAUUGUUACAUGA
rnacentral:rRNA from 1 species